UGCGCAUGCGCGGCAGACGGGGUCGCACUCGGACUCCCGCGCGGGGGCACGCUGUGCCGGCUGACCCGCUCCUGUUCGGCAUGACGAGCUGGGGUCUCGCUGCUGCUUCCCCCUCACUCCAGCGCUAUGGAAUGCCUGCGGAGCCUGCCCCGACUCCUGUCGUGCGCGGCGGGGCUGCCCCGGCACAACCUGUGUGCUAUGGCUUGCGGCCUGACUCCGCGCGCCGCUAUACUACUUGGAGGGAGCCUGGCCGCGCGGCUGUGCAGACCCCAUCGGCCCCGCCUGGCAGGUGAAAUGCAUCGGUUUAUAACUUCUGAUGUCUCUCAAGCCACUUUAGCCAGUGUAGCCCCAGUGUUUACUGUGACAAAAUUUGACAAAGAAGGAAAUGUUACUUCCUUUGAAAGGAAGAAAACUGACUUACAUCAAGAAUUAGGUCUUCAAGCCAGAGAUUUGAGGUUUCAGCAUUUAAUGAGCAUCACCACCAGAAACAAUAGGAUUAUCAUGAGAAUGGAGUAUUUGAAAGCUGUGAUAACUCCAGAGUGUCUUCUGAUAUUGGAUUAUCGUAAUUUAAAUCUAGAGCAAUGGCUAUUCCGGGAACUGCCUUCACAGCUGGCUGGAGAGGGUCAACUUGUCACAUACCCUUUACCUUUUGAAUUUAGAGCUAUAGAAGCACUCCUGCAGUAUUGGAUCAGCACUCUUCAGGGGAAACUGAGCAUUUUGCAGCCACUGAUUCUUGACACGUUGGAAGCUUUAGUGGAUCCCAAACACUCUUCUGUAGACAGAAGCAAACUGCAUAUCUUACUACAAAACAGCAAAAGUCUUUCAGAGUUAGAGACAGAUAUUAAAAUUUUCAAAGAGUCAAUUUUGGAGAUCUUGGAUGAAGAAGAGUUGUUGGAGGAGCUCUGUCUAACCAAAUGGAGUGACCCACAGGUCUUUGAAAAGAGCAGCACUGGAAUUGACCAUGCAGAAGAGAUGGAGUUGCUACUAGAAAACUACUACCGAUUAGCCGAAGAUCUUUCCAACGCAGCUCGGGAACUUAGGGUGCUGAUUGACGAUUCACAGAGUAUUAUAUUCAUCAAUCUGGACAGCCACCGCAAUGUGAUGAUGAGAUUGAACCUGCAGUUGACCAUGGGAACAUUCUCUAUUUCACUCUUUGGACUAAUGGGAGUUGCUUUUGGAAUGAAUUUGGAAUCUUCCCUUGAAGAGGACCAUAGAGUGUUUUGGCUGAUUACGGGAAUUAUGUUUAUGGGAAGUGGCCUAAUCUGGAGGCGUUUGCUGUCUUUCCUUGGACGACAGCUAGAAGCUCCUUUGCCACCCAUGAUGGCCUCUUUACCUAAAAAGAACCUUCAAGCAAAUAGAAGUAUAGAAAUGAAACACAGCUUCAGGCCAGAUGGACUUUGAUCAAGCAGGAGUGUCUUAACCAUUAGUAACAACUCGCUGAAAACUGAAUUUUUUAUGGGAACCAUGCAGCUAGCAUACCUCCCUAAGAAAGAUGAGACAGUUCCAGGAGUGGUCCAGAGGUGCUGUCUAGGUACGUGCCUGUUUACAUUUUUUUUCCUACAGAUACCUUGCGCUCACAGUUUUAACUCUAGCUUUUCCUUGAUCUCAUUUAACUUUAUUCUUCAGCUGAUUCCUGUCCCCCUUGACUGGUCUCUAUUCUGCCCCUAGACAAGCUGAGAAGAGAAGGGCUCAUGUCAUUUAUUUUCUCCUGCUUUUACACAUUUCACUAGUGUCAGAAAAAAAGAGGUUCUUCCUCGAUUCAUACAGAAUCAACUAGUUAGAGUUUACAGAUAAUAAUGCCUGCAAAUUUUAGUGAAGCUGAAACCCCGUGGUGCACGCUUUUCCCUUAAAUGUGCCGCACUGCAGGGCUGGCAGGUGAGACCCACUCCACCAGGAGCAGCACAGGAAGCCCAGGCUGCUUCACUCCCCUCGGUCCCUCACAUUUACUUAAUCCUUACAGAAGGUGUCCCUCGGCUCACGUCAGCUCACUCCUUUCUGCUCUAGUGCUGUCAGCACUCAUGGCAUCCUAAUGCCAUGAAGACCCUCUUGGGGUGUCUUAAAACUGGUGGAGAGUCACUAGGUUCAUUACCUGUUAGAGCAGCCUUCUCUACAAAAGAUAAGUUUUAGUUUUUAUAUUUGCCUUAUACUAUAUGAAAAUAUAAUAAUCAUUUUGCCUUUCACUAUAUGAAAAUGCAAUAAGGACCAAAUCAUUUAUAAGUGACUUUGGAGUUGUGAGGUUAUUCCUCACUGUACUUUUCCUCCAAUUUUUCCUGUAUACUGUGCUUUCUAUUUUAUUCUGAUUGGUGAACCUAAUGAGUCACCAAUUUUAAAAGAACAUUUUUAGGAGGAAUAGUAUACAAAGAUUUCCUAAGAGAUGACCACAGAGAGGUCUUUCUAGGCAUCAGAAAGACAAGUAUUCCUGUGGAAGAAGAAAUAGGAAAAAAGGCUUAGAUGCAAAGGAGACAAGGAAAUAAACCUUGGAAGGGGACAUGAAUAACCAAAGGGCCUGCGAUUUCAUGUACUUCUGAUAUAGUCAUAAUUUUCUGUAUUUCCAGAUAAUUUGACUGUUAGUGUGUGUCUCCACUGGCUGUGCCACUUUGUCCAUCAAAAUGCUCACCCUAGAGAUGACUCAGCACGAGAGGGAGGGGCAGAUUAGAAAAAUGGAGCAAAAACUAAUCUAAGCCAAGGCUGUAGAUGUGAAGUGCUCCAGAGAGUCGGGCUCCCAAAGAACUCCUUCCAGCAGCAAUGACAACUUGGUUCUGUAGAGGACAAAAUACAAUUCUUUAAUUUAUCAUCACAUCUAUUGAGUUCCUGCUCUAGUCCAGGCACCCUGGAGCUAGAAAAAUGAAUAAGCUACUGGCCAGACCCAAUGGCUUGAACAUUUCCACCAAAUCUAUAAGUGCCUGGGGGCAGGGGCCGAGUCUCAGGUUGGUUUGUCUGCUUCUCUGGUGCCAGCGUGACACUGCUCAUAACACACUAAUUACUUCCCACCCUGUCAUGGCAGCCCCACAGGAGGUAUCAGAAAUAUGGACAGUGGAAGAACUGCUUGAGUGCAAGCCCUCCUAAUUCAAGUUUACUAUUGAUUACUUAAUGCUCAUAUAAUAGAAAGGAAAAGGAAUUUAUAAAUCAUAAAUUUUAUUCAGUCUCAGCAAAAGGAUACUGUGAUCAUCAUGUUGUCUGUGACUGUUGUUUAAAUAUAGAUAACCUCUGAUUUAUCUUUAUGCUUGAGUGCUUGUGUCCCCAAUCUCAGGUAUGUGUUAGGAUAGUAAAGGAAUUUUACUGUUGACCCAAGUGAACUAUCAUUAGGAAAGUGAAUUUGAAGUAUUGUACAGAAAGGAAUCAAAUAUAAAUUACUUUUAAAUACUACUCGCUUCAGCUGGUGUAAAUGGGUUGAUAUUUGUUUAAUUUUUAUAGAAUAGGUUCUUGAUAGUGUCUAAUUCUUGGAAAGAAUAAAAGAAUGCAAGCCAAGCUUAUGGUAUAAAGUAUUCCUAUGACCAGACCUUUUUAGAAUCCUCUCAUAAAUCAUCUCUUUUUAACCUAUAUUUUUGUUAUCGGGUUUGUAAAUGGGUUUAAGAGCGAGCCACUAGGAGUCAAUUUCAGCACUUUCUCCAGCUUACAGACCUGGUUUUGUGCUCUAAGACAUGGGUCCCCAACCCCUGGGCCAGGUCUGGUCUGAGGCCUGUUUGGAAUGGGGGGCCACACAGCAAGAGGUGAGUGACAGGCAAGUUAGUGAAGCUUCAUCUGUAUUUGCAGCUGCUCCCCAGUGCUAGCAUCACCACCUCAGAUCAGGCAUUAGAUUUUCAUCAGAGCACCAGUCCCUGGUGCCAGAAAGGUUGGGGACCACUGCUCUAAGAUCUGAGGGCUUCCCAAGCCCUUCACCCCACAGUUAACACUUACUGUUCACACUGCUCAUUAGCACUUAAUCCUAUACUGACAUUUUUUUCUCAAAAUCAGAGACUUUGUCUUUAUAUCUCUCCCAGCCCACAGUUCUAUACAAUAUAUCCAAAUAAAUGAGUGGAAUCAGUGGUGUAUUCGAAGAUAAAACCCUUCAAUUUUGUAUAUCUAUUAAAAUUCAAAACUGUACACCCUUUGAUCCAGCAAUCUUCUAAGAAUUUCACCUAGAGGAAUAUUUACACAAUUAUACAGAUAAAGAUGCAAGAAUGCUCACUAUAGCAUUGUGUGUAAUAGUGAAAAAUUAGAAAUGUUUGUGAGAACGUGAACCAAGGAAAUAAAAUAUAGUAUCCAGACAGUCAAAUACUAUGCAGCAUUAAAAAGAAUCGGUUUGCUUUAUAUGUACCUCUCUGGGAAGAGGCAGCAUGGAGUGCAUGAAAGUGAAACAGUGACAGGAAAUGUGUAUGUGGGUUUACGUUUAUCCGUCCCUAAAGUCAUAAAAAAACUCUGGAAGAAAACACUGAAAUGUUAGCAAUGGUUAUCUGAUGUGGCAAGGGUCAGCAGACUCUGAGAACGGCCGAGACAACAUAUCUGGGGCUCUAUGGACAGCAGUUUCUAGAGUGACCACUCAGCUACCGUAGUGUGGUCGCAGCCGUGGAGGCGUGAACGCACGCGGCUGUGUCCCAAAGCUUCAUGAAUGCUAAUGUUCCAACCUCACAGAAGGUUCACGUGUCACGGAAUAGUCCUGUGUUUUCCCGACCAUUUAAACAUGCAGUAAUCACUUUUAGUUCGUGGGCUGUACGAAAACAGACGGCCAACUAGAGUUAGCCCACAGCCAUGAUCUGACAGCCUCGCUGCAGAGGGGGAGGUUGGAAGAGUAAGGCGUGGAGCUUUUCUCCAAAAAGGUGCUAGGAGUAUGUGUGAAUUUGUAAUUUUUUGUGUUCCUCUAUUAUUCAUAUAAAACCUGAAAUAUGAACAAAAUGAGAUCGUCCUCAAAUCCCAGCCUUAGAACAAACAUCAGCACAGCCUUGGCACUCACCUUGUCCUUUGACCUCACGGUGAUCAUAGAGCUUCCAAACCUUGAGCUUGCCUGCAAAACAGAUUCUGUCUGUCAAUGGCCUCUUGAAGACUUAGCAAAAUAUUUUAUGUUUAAAAUAAGAGGAAAGGACAUUUUUGUAGUUUUCCUUCAUUCCUUCGGGAGGUACUUACUUCAGGAGAAAUCAAUACAUAUUGGGCCUGAAAGAGAAAAUGGUGAGAAAGGGAGACUUUUUUUUUAACCAAUUUUAAUUACACCCUCACACAUUUCUACAUUUUUUAAGAAUCCUUAAAAAUGUGUAUACUCUUUAAUACCAGAAAUUCCACUUAUAGGAACUGAGCCCAGAAGAACAUGUAUCAAAACGUUUAUAUGUGAAUAACAGUGAAAAUUAGAAGUGAACUAAGUGAUGAGUAGUAAUUUAUGGUUAAAUAAACUGUUUCAUCUAUAGAUAAUAUACUAGGCAGCCAGUAAAUAUAUAGAAAAACAUUUACAUGUUAUUUUGGUAGGUAAAAUCAAGUUGCAAAAUAACAAUUAUGUACAACAUGAUCAUAGUUCUUAAAAAUAUAGACACAUAGUAUAAUGGUUAAGAGUGUGUUUUAGCAUCAGCUCUUGGUUCAAGUCCCUGCUUUGCCAUUUCCUAGCAAUGUGACCUCGAACAACUUCCUUUCUGAUCUUUAAUUUCUUUAUCUGUAAAUGGGCGUAAUACCAACUUUUAAUAAAAUAUAUCUAAUCCA